rnacentral:lncRNA from 13 species
UGCUGGCCCAUGUCGACAGGGAUGCUGGCCCAUGUUGACAGGGAUGCUGGCCCAAAUGCUUCCCACGGUUGUGUCAAGUUGGCUGGACGUCCUUUGGGUGGUGGGCCAUUGUUGAUACACACGGAAAGCUGUUGAGUGUGAAAAACCUUACCCCGUUCAAAGGCACUUCAAUAUUUUGUCUUGUCCAUUCACCCUCUGAAAGACACACGUACACAAUCCAUGUCUCAAUUGUCUCAAGGCUUAAAAAUCAUUCUUUAACCCGUCUCCUCCCCUUCAUCUACACUGAUUUUGAUGUGGAUUUAACAAGUGUCAUCAAUAAGGGAUCAUUGCUUUCACCUGGAUUCACCUGGGUCAGUCUAUGUCAUUGAAAGCCACUCAGUGUGUGAUUGGGAUCUAAUGUUGUCGAAUGUUUUCUUGUUAAUUUUCCCUCGCAGGUCCCAACAAAGUUGUGUCUCCAUACAGCGGCUAUAGUGGUCAGAGCCACCAUUCUGUCUACCAGCCCACUGAGCUGGCUCUCAUCAGCAGGGGAAUGGGGAAUGGGAAUGGACUGCAGAAGAUAUCCCAGUGGUGAACACAGACUACUUUACACCUCUCUCCUCAAGACAUAUUUAUUGCUACAGUUUCCUCAUGUUGACUCUAUUUUGCUGUUGUCCAUUGCAUCCUUGAUGGGAGCUGUUUUUAACGGGACCCAUCACAAUGAAGCCUACCUGAACUCUGACCUACCAGCCUAUCAGACUCCAGAGGUGACGUUUAGGUGAACGACACGAACAGUUUGCCCUUUGUAAAACCCCUAAAGAUUGGACAGUCCUGUGUACGACAUAACCCUCUAUCGAUAGAUGGACAGUGUCCUACAGGUCUGUCUGUCCCCGUUCCAGUCCCUGCCCCAUCUGUCUGUCUGACAGGAGUCAAAGCAACCCACAGAGAGCAGGCCCAUGGCGUUGGGAGAGAACAAUACCUUUUGCAGAGGUCACCUCUGACUAUGAGCUGAGCUCUCCGCUGGACACACUGUGACAGAUGAAAUGUGAGCAUGCUAACAGCAUGGAAUACUAGUCUCACUCUCUCUUAGCAUGUGGGGGUGUAUUUAGGCUACAAAGAUAGAUAUAUACACACACACACACACACACACACACACAAUAGUCACAUACACAGUAGUCACGUGGAAGUGCAGCCAACAACAGGAUCAGUCAAGCGAGGGGGGGCAACUGGUGUGAUGGGAUAAACCUGUCAUCCCAGUGUUCUCAGAAGAGGACCCCUUAACAGUGGAACAUUCCAUACCUGGAACACCCUCUAUGGUUCCAUGGAAUCUUGGAAAAGGUCUCUUCUGUCACAGGGGAUACCUACCUAACACUAAUGCACUCAUUUAUAGGUUUUAGCGUACAGAAAGCGUGCACUUUCGAGCUUUCAAUUGAAGUAAGUGUCGAUAUUAUUAUGUCAAUGUUUAGUGCCUGGCUUGUGAAUGGGUAUCACUUUCAGAAAGUUAAAAUUGCUAUUUCAAUUUGUGGCUAAAGAUUGUUGAAUGACCUAAUGUUAAUGCCAUGCCAAUGAAUGGCUUCUCCCUCUACAUAUGUAAGGAAUCAAUUGUUGUAUGAAUUGUUGUAUGAAUUUGGAAAUAUGAUAUUUAAGACAUUUACAGUAAUUACUUUUCUUGUAAAUCGGUUUUGAGCCAACACCUGUAAAUGAAAUCCUGAAUGUUCAAUCUAACAUGAUGUGUUGUAAAACGACAGUGAGUGAAUCGAUUGGUUGAACAUACUGUAUCAACAGCCAUUGAUGUCUGAAAGAAAAAUGAAAAUCUAAAUAAACAUUCAAUGGUGAAGUACAUACAGUCCAGAGAAUCUGUCAUAAUGAAUCAAUAUUAUACCUAAUACUGUUGUUUACCCUAAUACUGUUAUUACCUAAUACUGUUAAUACCUAAUACUGUUAAUACCUAAUACUGUUAAUACCUAAUACUGUUAAUACCUAAUACUGUUAAUACCUAAUACUGUUGUUUACCCUAAUACUGUUAUUACCUAAUACUGUUAAUACCUAGUACUGUUAAUACCUAAUACUGUUAUUUACCCUAAUACUGUUAAUACCUAAUACUGUUGUUUACCCUAAUACUGUUAUUACUUAAUACUGUUAAUACCUAAUACUGUUAUUACCUAAUACUGUCAAUA